rnacentral:rRNA from 1 species
UGCGGUUAUACAAAAAUUAAAAUAAAUUUUAUAAAAAAUUAAUUAAUAAAUAUUAUAAAAAUUUAAAUUUUAAAUUAUAAAGUGAAAUUUUAAUUUAAUUAAAAAUUAUUUUAUAUUAUGAAUUAAUAAAUUUUAUUUAUAAACUAGGAUUAGAUACCCUAUUAUUAAAAAUUUAAAAUAAUAAUUUUAAAAUAGUAUGUAUAUAUAUAUUGAAACUUAAAUAAUUUGGCGGUAUUUUAGUUCAUUUAGAGGAAUCUGUCUAAUAAUUGAUAAUCCACGAAUAAAUUUACUUAAUUUAUUAUUUUGUAUAUCGUUGUUAAAAAAAUAUUUUUUAAUAAAAAUAAUAUUUAAAAAUUUAAAUAAAAAAAAAUUAAAUCAGAUCAAGAUGCAGAUUAUAAUUAAGAAUAUGAUGGAUUACAAUAAAAUUAUUUAAGUGAAUAUUAAUUUGUAAAAAUUAAUUGAAAAUGGAUUUAAAUGUAAUUUUUGUUAAUUUAUAAAAAUGAUUAAAAAUUAAAAUAUGUACAUAUUGCCCGUCGCUUUCAUUUAUAAAUUGAAAUAAGUCGUAACAAAGUAGAGGUACUGGAAAGUGUUUCUAGAAAGAU